CGAUAUAACAUGCCGAAAUGUUGAGACGAGGUGAAUGUCAGAGAAACAUUGGUGAGGUCAUAUUAGUGGAUUGGCCGAUGAUCAUAAAUAAUAAAGGGGCGAACGAGAAUAUUGUCGGAAGUUAUGGCGUGUUAGUCGGCGUUCCUCUAGAAAUGUAUGUCGUCCCGUCUGUGCGGCUGGGUUCGACACCACCAGGGACGGUGGUAUUAACGUGCCUUAGUUGGAGAGGUCACGGUGGCAAAAUACAGUGAGCUGGUUCUGUAUGAAGCUUUGCAUGAUCUUUCAAAAUCCAGUGUGUCAU